CUUCUAAGCUGCAUCAAGCUGCUUCUGCAUUCCCCAUGAAUUGGAUUCGAAGUUCUGACAUACAUAAUCCCAUGUAUACAGACCCUUAGCCAUGAGAUCUAUAAUAAGCAGUUUUUGUUCACAGUAAUUAUUUUCUUUCGUAUCUGUACAGUGAUGUCCUUCCAGAUGUCAGCAGUGCAAAGCCUGCAGAGGCCGAGUCCCCUUCUGCCCUCAUCAACCGAGAGAGCCUGUCCUCAGUGAUUUAUAUGAAUGUGGAAGGUCCACCCCAGUCAAAGGAAGCGACAGACGACAACUAUGUAAACGUGAGGGAUUCUAAGGAGAGCCUGGAGUAUGUCAACGUGGAAGAAGCAGUAAAACCUCACAGCUCCACCCAUCACCACAGCGAUGAUGACAACAUUCCAGAUUAUGAAAAUUUGGAAAAUGACCAUAUAGGUUAAACCACCUAGUUUGCCGAUGGACAGGACCUUCGUUAACAAAGAAUACUUCUGUAAUAGAAUUAUCCCAUAUUCAAUGUUCCCCAGACAGACAUUUUUUGGAUAAAGAUUGUUCUAGAUUGUCUUUCAUAAAGAUUCUUCUGUCCCGUUCAUGAGCCAUAAUCUUUCCAGCUUCAAGCCAAUCAGAGUUGUGACGUUGUGUCACUAUUUGCUUGCAGAAAGUCCAAAAAAUUCUCAUUGGACUUACCAAGGUGCCAUAUCUUCCAUCCUCAUACCCGUUGGCCCACAAUGGUGGGCAGGUUAUUGAAGAUAUUGGACCAUUUGCUUGCAGCAAGCCCAAAAAAUUCUCAUUGGACUCACCAAGGUGCCUUAUCUUCUAUACUCAUAACCGUUAGACCACAAUCGUGGGAAGGUUAUUGAAGCCAUUGGACCAUUUGCAACAAGCCCAAAAGAUUCUCAUUGGACUCACCAAGGUGCCUUAUCUUCUAUCCCUAUGCCCAUUGGACCACAAUGGUGGGAAGGUUAUUGAAGCCAUUGGACCAUUUUCUUGCAGCAAGCCCAAAAGUUUCUCAUUGGACUCACCAAGGUGCCUUAUCUUCUAUCCCUAUGCCCAUUGGACCACAAUGGUGGGAAAGUUAUUGAAGCCAUUGGACCAUUUUCUUGCAGCAAGCCCAAAAGUUUCUCAUUGGACUCACCAAGGUGCCUCAUCUCCCAAGCUCAUACCUGUUGGGUCACCAUGGCGAGCAGGUUAUUAAAGCCAUAGGACCAUUUGCUUGAACCAAGGCCAAAAUAGCCUCAUUGGAUGCACCAAGGUGCCUUAUCUUCCAUCCCUUUGCCCUAUGGACCGCAAUAGUGGGCAGGUUAUUGAAGCUAGUGGACCAUUUUCUUGCAGCAAGCCCAAAAGAUUCUCAUUGGACUCACCAAGGUGCCUCAUCUUCCAAGCUCAUACCUGUUGGACCACAAUGGCGAGCAGAUUAUUGAAGUCAUAGGACCAUUUGCCUCCAGCAAGCCCUAAAGAUCCUCAUUCCACAAUGAGAGAUGGACCUCUCUUGGGGGGGAAUAGGCGAAAUAUGGAUGAACAGAAAAUAUGUGUCACGGAACCCUCUUCUGGAGCGUCUUUUCUAAACUUUAAAAUUACUUUAUAUUUUAUUGCCACUGUUCAAAAAGGGAUUUUUACAUUUUCUACAUUUUUUUUUACUCUUUGGAUAGACUACUUAUUGGCCCUUUACUUUUAUUAUUCUUAAUAAUAACAUACCUGUUCCACUCCUUC